rnacentral:rRNA from 1 species
CAACUUUCAACAACGGAUCUCUUGGUUCUGGCAUCGAUGAAGAACGCAGCGAAAUGCGAUAAGUAGUGUGAAUUGCAGAAUUCAGUGAAUCAUCGAAUCUUUGAACGCACAUUGCGCCCCUUGGUAUUCCAUGGGGCAUGCCUGUUCGAGCGUCAUUUGUACCUUCAAGCUAUGCUUGGUGUUGGGUGUUUGUCUCGCCUU